AUUGAACGCUGGCGGCAGGCCUAACACAUGCAAGUCGGGCGGUAACAGGAAUCAGCUUGCUGAUUCGCUGACGAGCGGCGGACGGGUGAGUAAUGUCUGGGAAACUGCCUGGUGGAGGGGGAUAACUACUGGAAACGGUAGCUAAUACCGCAUAGCGUCUACGGACCAAAGUGGGGGACCUUCGGCCCUCAUGCCAUCAGAUGUGCCCAGAUGGGAUUAGCUAGUAGGUGGGGUAACGGCUCACCUAGGCGACGAUCCCUGGCUGGUCUGAGAGGAUGACCGGCCACACUGGAACUGAGACACGGUCCAGACUCCUACGGGAGGCAGCGGUGGGGAAUAUUGCACAAUGGGCGCAAGCCUGAUGCAGCCAUGCCGCGUGUAUGAAGAAGGCCUUCGGGUUGUAAAGUACUUUCAGCGGGGAGGAAGGUGUUGUGGUUAAUAACCGCAGCAAUUGACGUUACCCGCAGAAGAAGCACCGGCUAACUCCGUGCCAGCCGCCGCUGUAA
rnacentral:rRNA from 1 species